rnacentral:rRNA from 1 species
GAUGAACGCUGGCGGCGUGCCCAAUACAUGCAAGUCGAGCGAAUGGAUUAAGAGCUUGCUCUUAUGAAGUUAGCGGCGGACGGGUGAGUAACACGUGGGUAACCUGCCCAUAAGACUGGGAUAACUCCGGGAAACCGGGGCUAAUACCGGAUAACAUUUUGAACCGCAUGGUUCGAAAUUGAAAGGCGGCUUCGGCUGUCACUUAUGGAUGGACCCGCGUCGCAUUAGCUAGUUGGUGAGGUAACGGCUCACCAAGGCAACGAUGCGUAGCCGACCGGAGAGGGUGAUCGGCCACACUGGGACUGAGAGACGGCCCAGACUCCUACGGGAGGCAGCAGUAGGGAAUCUUCCGCAAUGGACGAAAGUCUGACGGAGCAACGCCGCGUGAGUGAUGAAGGCUUUCGGGUCGUAAAACUCUGUUGUUAGGGAAGAACAAGUGCUAGUUGAAUAAGCUGGCACCUUGACGGUACCUAACCAGAAAGCCACGGCUAACUACGUGCCAGCCGCCGCGGUAA